rnacentral:lncRNA from 1 species
AAACGCCCGCCCUUCUGCCUGCCCCUCGUCUGGCUCUGCGUUUCUCCUCAGCAUGUUGUCACCUGACACGCUGUGGACUCGAUUUGAUUUGUGCGUCCUCAUUCUGUCCUCGCUAGGAUGGAGGUUCCACGAGAACAGGGCUUUCCUCUGGCUGCUGACGACGGAGCUCCCGGCACCUGCACGAGUGCGUGGCGCGUGGGAGCAGGUGUGCGCUGAGUGCUCGGUGCAGUUGCUGGCAGCGCGUGCACGUCCGCAGCUGUGAGCGUAGCUCUAGCAGUGUAGACACCUGGGAAAGUCGGGGCCCAAUCAGUGAGCUGCUCCUGCCCCUCAUCCGCUCCAAAUUUUGAGUCUGUGUCACCCACUUUGCAGCUUUUCCAUCUACUCUGAUAGAAUCGUCUCGAUAGGACAAUGCCUAUUCCUGUUCUGAGCCUAAGUUCUAUCUCCUGCAUGGGUCACAAAGCCGAGCCCCUGGCCACUGAGGCCUCCCCGUUCGCCUCCCAGAGGCCGCCACUUUCUUCAGGGCUAUCAGAUGAAGGCAGCAACGAAAACACCACCACAAGACCAACUUCAGGCUGGAGCUGAUGAUGCCACACAGCGAGAAAAAAGAAAAUAGACUCUACUUAGAAAUGAAACUCAACUAAAGGUAAAAGUUGUCAGGAACAUCUCCAAGAAAGCCAGAGUCAGCCUCUAAACUUUGCAUCAAGAACGCAAUGGCUUCCCUGAGGGCCCAGGGACGCGUGGCAGCUGUGAGGCAGCCCCUUCUCUGCUGUCGAGGAACUGGACACUUCUCCUGUCCCUUCCCACAAGGUAUAAUAUUAGGCAGAAACCCAAUAUAAAAAGAAAAGCAGAGUUGUUGUAGAUUCAUCGAGGGUUGGCGACCUGGUUCCAAUGAGCCAUCUCCCUGUUCCGACAGGGGCUUCCUGGAGCUCCUGCAACCCCAGGCAUUAGUUCCGGUGCAGUUCUAGGAUCAGAUCAAUUCACUCGACAACAAGAGAAACAAAUGGAGAUUCCUACACAAAGACUUUCAAGCACAAAGAAAUCCUGCUGCCUGUAAAGCGGAGCUGCCUCAGCCCUUGAUGAACGACAGAAAAUACCACCUACUGCCAGACCUCAACGCCUCACAAAACUCUCACCCACCUACUGCUUUUAGCUCACAUUCCAGGAAUUCAGAUGAAGUGAAGUGCUCUCAUGGGGACCAGGCAUGGUUAUGCCAGUCCACUGCCCUGCAAGCCUCAAGGGAAGCCAACUGCCCUUCAGCAAGUCACACCUGCCUUGGUGGAGGCCUUGAUUGGAAGUGCCACACGCUACAUGUCCAGUCCUGAGCGGGAGAAUCGGUGUAGGGACGUUCUGGGGAUGCCAGCUGUGGCCAGAUCAGGUCCAACUACAGAAGAAUAAUGAAGACUCCACCUGAGGGCUGGAAAAACAAAACCUCAAGUGUGAGGCAGCCAACCUGUUACCUCGAGGGACUGUUCCGCAGCACAGCGGGGCCAUGGGAACAGCAGCAGACACCCCGACCUCCUCGCUACCUGUAUCAACUAUGGCCUGAGUAUGAUAGACUUAUCCAUGGUUUAAACAGAAUAUAUUGUUUUCAACUUUGAAAAUAAGAAUAUGGAAAUCCAGAUGCAGAAAUGUGAGAAGAAAAGAGAGUAAACAGAGUGGAAGGUCAGGUGACCUUGCCUGUCAUGAAUAUGAAGGUCAAGGUGUGUGAAUUGUGAAAUUUCCAAGAGAACCUCACUGAAGCAAAGAAUGAAGAAAGAAUUGCAUUUGGCCCUGGGAGGGUGCAGGGGUGAAUGGUGCAGGAGCUAAAUCUUUAUCAUACCCAGAAAUCAACAGCCACUAUUUGAAAUCAUCUAAAUUCGUGCUGCUAACCUUCAGUGUACACACGAAUCACCUGGGGAUCUUACUAAAAGCUAGUUUCUGAUUCACUAAAUCUGUGUGUGGUGGAAGUUGAGGGCAGAGAAGCUCCCGAGGGUGUCAAGCUGACUCUGAACCCGACUUUGAGGGUUAAGGUCCCAAAUGGCAUCGCCAGCACCAGGGACAGACACUAAAAUUGUAGAAAUCGUCUCAAGAAAUGAACAGCCUCUAAGUCAGAUGUUGAAUGUGAAAGAAAUCAGGGUGUGUACGUGUGUGUGCAUUUGUGUGUGCACGUGUGUGCCUGUGUUUGUCUCUGUGCAUGUAUGUUUCUAUGUGUGCACAUGUGUGUAUGUGUCUGUACAUGUGUGUUUCUGUGUGUGUGCCUGUGUGUGUAUUGGCUUAGAUCUGUUCGAGACUUUUUAUUUGAUGAGAUCGAUAUAUGCCACCACUUUUGGAAAGGACAACGUAUAUACAAAGACAAUGAUUACUUAUGUAAUGUGAACGGAGUCUCUCUUCGACCCUCAAAUGUUUUGUAGAAAGUAAUGAUGAUGGUGAGGAUUAUAACAAUGCGUGUUUCCUGAAUAACAAAAAGGAGUUACAGUACACUUUUACCUAUUUUUCCAAAGCGCUAGGUCAAGUUUAGCUAAAGUCUGCUUGGAAUUAAUGAGGCUUGGAAAUGUAAAAUCUCAGAGCAGUAAACAUCUCUUUGUCCUAAUGUUCUUAUGUAGCCAUUAAAACUUAAAUAUUAAUACUAAAAUAACUACUGUAAAAUAAAGUAAAAAUGUACGAGAAUAAU